rnacentral:tRNA from 1 species
GGUUAGACGCUACGGACUUAAAUCCGUCGACUUUAUAAAUCGUGAGGGUUCAAGUCCCUCUAUCCCCA